GGGGGUGUUCUGGCUUCGCCUGGAUGGUAAAUCCUUUAGAAGCGAGUCGAGGAUUCUCUUUCACUCGAAAAACACUGGGAACUAUAAAAUUAUCCGCAAACGAUAAUAGUUACGCUUUAGCUGCCGCGUAGGCAGUUAACGCCUGGCCGUCUCCUGCCUGUGGAGUCGUCCCAGGUGCCAUAUAAAGCAGGCUAACUUUCUUCUGAUGUCUGUAAGAAGAAAGGACAAUUAACAGACUGGCAGUAAAUGAUCCUGUUCAGUGGAGCAUUUACUGUGAGAUUAAAAACUGAACUACACUCGUAGAAACUACUGGGUGAGUCAUUCAGUACGUGGGUUCGACUCCCACCACCUCCACCA
rfam:Halanaerobium hydrogeniformans chromosome, complete genome.